AAGACUAUAGACCUGCGGAGUACCUGCGGAAGAUCAUUAUCGUAUUGUAACAAUUGGGGGGGCCACCGUGGGCUGUCGCUGACCCUUUGAAAGGGGGGUCGUGCACGCCCCCAUAGUGUCAUCCUCAUACAAUCCAACUCACCUCUGUGCAUCACCGCGUGGGUUCCUUUCUGGGUCGAGUCAGACUGGCUCAGAAAAAAGGGGCUUGCGUUUUCCAUACAAAUACCCUUAUAAAUCCAG
rnacentral:misc_RNA from 1 species